AGAAGAAAGAAAAACAUUAGAAAAGUACCACUGAAGAUUAAGAGAAGAGUUAUAGAGCAACAAUCCAUUAAUACGAACUUGGAUCGUGAAGUCUGUGAAGUCUGAGCAGAGUGUUUCCUGUGGCCUCUGUCAGCGGUUUCCUGCCUGCCAUAAGUACAAGGAACUGUUCAUGGGAUUGUACUCGUGGCUUUGUUUCUGUUGGAAAUGUGUUUUAUUUUCUUUAUAAAAUAAUGGGUAAUCUUUAAAAUUGAUUUUAGAUGGUUUGAGGCAUUACACCACAACAGUAAUGAGCACUAAUGCCAAUGAUAUUGGACACAAAUUCAUUUUAGCUUUAUUUCAUGUCUGAAGCAAUUCUACUGAGCCUUGAACUGCUCACGUGUUGUUAUUAACUUGCUAGUAACUUAACACAUGGGUACAGCAAACAAAAGUGAUCAGAGUCCAGGUUGAUCGGGACCUCAAGGCUACUGUCCUUUUUCUUGAGCUAUAAUUCAAUUUCCAAUUUUACUGUACAUUAGACUCAUUAUUUCCCAGCGUUUUCUUUUUCUGCUCAAUACUGCCAUCUGGAGGACACACAGAUGAAAAGAGAAGGAGCCAGGCUCACCCAGCUCACAAUUCCAAAGAGCCAGAAAGAUGUGGCUGGGGAGGGGACAUCUGAACACUCCCCCAGGCCUAGAGUUCAAACCAGUGAGUCGGCUAGGUACAGUUUUGGUUUUUGGAAUCUCCUCUGUUUCUCUGGCUAAAUUCAUGCCACCAUACUCCAUGAGUUUUAAAUAAGCAAAAAUAAUUUUUAAAUGUAUUUAUAUGCUUAUUUUAGUCAGAUAGUUCAUUCUGAAAUUUAAAAUGAAAAUUUUUGAGAGUGUUUUCCCAUCUGGUUAGGUGAGCAUAAUUAAUUUAUUUUGAGUACUAUUUGGCUUACUAUCAGAGAGGGCUGUGACUGCCACCAUCAUAAUAUUAAAUACUAUUUUUUCCUUAGUC
rnacentral:lncRNA from 1 species